ACCUCAGGUGAUCUGCCCACCUCAGCCUCUCAAAGUGGUGGGAUUACAGGUGUGAGCCACCACACCCAGCCAACAGCGAUUAUUAGUUAAUAAUAGACAUCGUCAUUACACAGCCCAGAAGGCUUUAUCUGAAACCCCUGGGGCCAGAGGUAUUUCACAGCUCAGACAUUCUGGACUUUAGAAAGGUCUGAUGGUGCUGACACCACACAGCAUGGAACACACACAGCAAGGGCCGGGGCAGCCCCCUUAGUCACACACAUCACUGCUCCCACCCUGCGAUUCAGAACAUUCCCGUGAGCUGGAGUGAGCAAAGACUAGCAAGAGUACUAGCUGGCGUCCUGGGGAGGUGUUGAUACCGGUGUUGCCAUCCCCACUGUGCAGAUGGGAAAACUGAGGCACAGAGGAUUAACUACAUGCCUGAGGGAACACAGCUAAAAACACAAGGAAGCCGCUUGCUCGUGGUCUACCUCCUGGGCACCAUUGGUGCGUCCCCAUGUGGCCCCUGUGGCAUGCCCCCUCCUCUGGGGAAGCUUUCUGGAGGUUGGAAGUCUAAAAUCAAUAUAACUGGGCCAGGCAUGGUGGCUGACACCUGUAAUCCUGUCAUUUUGGGAGGCCAAGGUGGGCAGAUCACUUGAAUCCAGGAGUUUGAGACCAGCUUGGGCAACAUGGUGAAACCCCAUCUCUACUAAAAAUACCAAAAAACUGGCCAGGUGUAGUGGCAUAUGCCUGUAGUCCCAGCCACUCAUCGCUUGAGCCUGAAGUCGAGGCUGCAGUGAGCCCUGAUUCUGUCACUCCACUCCAUCCUGGACGACAGAGUGAAACCUGAUGUUUAAAUGCAGUUUUUCAUGUAUGUACUUCUUACCAAAAUGAGAUCAUACAGAACCUGCAAUUUUGUAACCUGCGUCUUUCAGUUAACCUCCUCUUCUCCUUGGCAGUAGUGCUUUCGUCUUGUCUGAUACCCAUUCCCUAUUCAAAUGUCCCUCCGUUUCUCCCCAAAGAGACUUUGUCUUGUUUUGUUUUUUGAGACAGGAUCUCACUCUGUCACACAGGCUGGUGUGCUGUGGUACGAUCUCGGCUCACUGCAACCUCUGCCUCCUGGGUUCUGAUGAUUCUCGUGCCUGAGCCUCCUGAGUAGCUGGGACUAUAGGUGCACACCACUGCACCUGGCUAAUUUUUGUAUUUUUAGUAGAGACAGGGUUUCACCAUGUUGGCCAGGCUGGUCUCAAACUCCUGACCUCAGGUGAUCCGCCCACCUCGGCCUCCACCCACAAAGAGCCUUUAUAACUUGUUUUGUCCAAGCCAAAACCCGGUCCAGGAUCACCCCUCAAAGCUGGUCUUGUGUCUCUUAACGGAUUUUUUUCAAAUAUAGCAAGGCUACUUGCUUUUGUUUUGCACUGUGGCAUGGAUUUGUUGGAGAGACGGUGCCGUUUGCUCUGCAGAAUGUGUUGCCUUCUGGAAUGUUCUGGGUAGUGCCGUGAGGUACCGUGUUUACAAUCAAUUCUUGUUAUUCAUAGUAGCGAUGUUGUAUAACUGUGACCACUGAAUCAGCAAAUAAGGACCCAUUGCUUCAUUAAUAAAAGUAUAUAUUUUUCUA